rnacentral:rRNA from 1 species
AUUGAACGCUGGCGGCAUGCCUAAUACAUGCAAGUCGAACGAAGAGACGACGGGGGGGUAGUGUCGGGGAAAAUGCCUGAUGGAGGGGGAUAGCUGCUGGAAACGGUAGCUAAUAACGCAUACCAUCGGAGGCGCCCAGAUGGGCUUAGCUAGUAGGUGGGGUAACGGCUCACCUAGGCGACGAUCACUAGCUGGUCUGAGAGGAUGACCAGCCACACUGGGACUGAGCCACGGUCCAUACUCCUACGGGAGGCAGCAGUGGGGAAUAUUGCACAAUGGGCGCAAGCCUGAUGCAGCCAUGCCGCGUGUAUGAAGAAGGCCUUCGGGUUGUAAAGUACUUUCGGCGGGGAGGCGGUACUCGCACAAGAAGCACCGGCUAACUCCGUGCCAGCAGCCGCGGUAAUAC